rnacentral:rRNA from 1 species
CCUACGGGAGGCUGCAGUAGGGAAUCUUCCACAAUGGACGAAAGUCUGAUGCAGCAAUGCCGCGUGGGUGAAGAAGCACUCCGGUGCGUAAAGCCCUGUCAGCAGGGAAGAAAAUGACAGUACCUGGACAAGAAGCCCCGGCUAACUACGUGCCAGCAGCCGCGGUAAUACGUAGGGGGCAAGCGUUAUCCGGAUUUACUGGGUGUAAAGGGAGCGCAGGCGGCGUGGCAAGUCAGAUGUGAAAACCCGGGGCCCAACCCCGGGAGUGCAUUUGAAACUACCAUGCUGGAGUGCCGGAGAGGUAAGCGGAAUUCCGAGGGUAGCGGUGAAAUGCGUAGAUAUUAGGAGGAACACCAGUGGCGGAGGCGGCUUAUUGGACGGUAAGUGACGCUGAGGCUCGAAAGCGUGGGGAGCAAACAGGAUUAGAUACCCCGGUAGUC